rnacentral:lncRNA from 1 species
CAGAACUUAAAAAAACAACCCAGAACCAAUAGCAUCUGUUUUAGGAACACGGAUAUCAUGAUAGGCAAAUCGAUGCGAGAAUAAUAGUCAGAACACUUCGUUCUAGCUAGGACGCCGCGCCGUUUCGAUUUCAGCACUUGAUGACUUCGCUUCGCUGCCUUAUCGUCGUAGGCCUUUUCGGCCUGGCCCCAGUUUUGUGCGCCCAUACGAAAAAUGGGGACGGAUUGACCUGUUCAGAACGAUGUCAGAAUAGAUAUGGGUACAUCGACGGUGAGAGAGGCUCUCGCAUUUUCAUCGCGGUCGGGGCCAUCAAUGAUAACGGAGGCCAAGAGGUAUGCGAGUGCCGAGUCAGUGACGCCCUGCAGUUUCUAGUGGAAUCCAGAAAGCUUACGGACGUCCAAUACAAACGGCUUCUAGAACAAACCCCGAAAAAUGUCGGCUCAUGGCUGAAGACGCGUUUGGGCGUAGAAGUCCAUUUCCCCGGUGCUGAAGAGCAGAAAAAAUCUCCAAACACAGGCCCAGUUUCGAGCGGAAACGAGAAAAAUACGGAACAUGUGCUCAGUGAAGAAAAAUGCAAAGACAAGUGCCGCAAGGAGGCCGGGUAUCGCUUCGCCGAGACGAAAGAUAAGGUAGUUCGGGCAUGGAUCUCAGAGGGGUAUUAUAAUCCUACACAAGUCGGGCCGAGACAAUGCGAGUGCAAGAGCAGCGAGGUUCUUAUCAAUUACCUGCGUCGCAAGAGAAUCAACACGCAUGAAUUCGAAUUACUCCGCGUACAGAGAAAGUGGGAGAAAAUAAACAUAUGGCUGAAGAAGCAAGACCUAUCUUUAAUAGUAUUUGGAAAGGAAGGGACUGGUGGUGAUCCAGUUGAGAACGAAACGAGCUGUACAGAAAAAUGUCGGAAAUCGCAUGGGUACAUAGAUGGAGAGACAGGAGGUUCCAUCAUUUUCCUCAUGAUCGGGGUCCUCAAUAAUGACAAAUUUAUUAUGGUACACGGAGAGAAACAAAGAGACCUAGUGGAUUGCGAGUGCCGAAUCAAUCCAAUCCUGGAGGAACUACUAAUAUCCAAGAGGCUAAACUUCACGGAAUUCAAAGAGAAGAACGACGAGUAUGAAGCCGACAAAUGGCUUCUCGAACAUAUGGGCACACAAGUUCACUUCCUGGAGCCGAAAAAAUCCUCAAAAAAGAGGACUUUUCGGGAUCAAACUCAAGGUGACCAAGGAGGAGUGUGAGGAGCAGUGCUUUGAAAAAGAGGGCUACGUCGAAUUAGGACCACGGCUUCAUUUAAAGGUCGCAAAGGGUCAUGUGGUGGUCUCAUGCAUGCGGUCGAAAUGCGAGUGCAAAAUCAACGAGGGGUUGAUUGCAUAUUUGGAGAAGAACGAGCGCGAUCCUCAACAAUUCCUGUUUGCGUACAAAAAUGGGGAAGCAGAAAGAUGGUUUCGUAAUCACAACAUUAAUAUUAAGUUCCCUGUUUCGAGUCGAAAUCGUAAAAAACAACCAACAUUUCCUUUUAAACAGAGGCAACAACAUCCUCCACCUCCGGCUGAACAGGAGCACGAAAGUGAGCAAUGCCGUGUAUCACCUUCAACUGAACCUUUAAGCCAUGAGGAGUGUACACUUAGAUGUCAGAAUUCUUAUGGGUACAUCACCGGAGGAGGCUCGGGCUCCAAAAUAUACGUCUCGACUGGGAUAAUCGUGACAAAAGACACAGUGAAUAAAAAGGGAAAAAAACAGUGUGCGACUGCCGACCAAACAAAGAACUGGAACCGAUAUUAAAAAAAAAUUUCACGAAACAUUCGAGGCGGCAUGGAUGAACAACGUCCAAGAUGUUGUAGAUGUGUUGCAUAAACACAAGGUCGAAGUCCAUUACAAGCAAAAUGAGUCCGAGGCGAAAAGCAAGAAAAGUUCCCAAAGACAAGAAUCACUAAAAGCAACACCAAAAUGAAAGGUUAUGGAGCCAAUAUCAGUGGGGAAAUCAUCAAAUAUGUUGCCGGUUAAAUCCUGCAUGGUAAAUAAAUUCGAAAAGCCUGCAAUUCGUAUGACAAACAGACUUAAUUUACUGGAAUUCAUACACACACCCCCCCUCUCUCCAAACAUGUGGAGAAAUAAUGGGCCACUUAACCUUGGGUGUUUAACUUAAUAUUCUGAAAGUACCAUAAUAGUAGAUUACGUUGUGAUUUUUUCCGUGUUUUUAGGAAUAAAAUCCCGGACAAGGCCGCUUCUUAGAAGUCCAAAAGACUUGAAGGAAUUAAAAACGCGCCGGAAUGGCGGGAAAAUGAUGGAAGUGAUGUACUGCGCCGGUCAAAUCGCCAUCUCCUCUAUUUUUCCACUCAUGCUUGUUAAAAUGAAUCGUAUUUUCAAAGAAUUGUUGUUUGUUUACGACAGAUAACGCGAAUGAAACUUGAUUCUUUGGUUCUGCAGAUAUCGUUCCGAUUUUCCUUUUUUGUCCAUAAAUGAGGAGUACACAGACAUUUGACGAGGGCCGUUGAAACCCGCGCUCGCUUUUGAUUGGUGCCGGAUGACAUCAUUCGGUUCAGCGCAAACCGGGGCGUUUUAAAUUUAUGAAAAAGUUGCGCUUUUUGAACUACGCUUUCUCAGUUUUCGCGUAUUCUACGCUUCAUUUGCCUUUGGAAAAAUGUAUUCGCCAGUCAAAAUUCCUUCAUGGUUUAGUGGCCCAUAGUCCUAGUGCGCUGAAAAAAUACUCCAUAUAUAUAUUCAGACGUUGACGAAAUCCUCCUGAUUGAAUAAAAUGUUUUUCCGCAAACGUGUGUAUUUUUUCUCAUCAAUUUAAGUAUUCAUUGUAUCUAAAAAUUUCAAGGAAAAAUAUUCAUAACUUUUUUCGAGACUGAAUAUUCUAAGGAAAAAAAUUAGGCAACAUUCUCAUUUUCAUACUCUAUUUUCCGAUAGCAGGACAGAGUUUUG